rnacentral:lncRNA from 1 species
AGGACACCCAGAAGCUGGUUUUGAUAUUCAAUGGCAUUCAAAGGCUCGACUUGGUGUAUAACAUGAAGCAUUGUUGCAGUGGCCAAUACAGAAGGUAAAUAACGUGCAAAUCUCCAAUCUACAUUUAUAAUAAUCAACAAAACAAAUGUGAGAUUUAAAAGAAUUUGUUACUUUCUUCUUUAUUUAUCUGUUAUAUUUCAAAAAAGAUGACAUCUUUAUGGUCAAAAAGAGACUUACCAGCUACUGCAGAAAGGAGUAGAGCUUCACAUUUCUUGAAAAACUCCCAAUGGAGACUAGUCUUCAAUCUAAGCCUCCUCAUAAUAUGAUCAAGAAAUGAAAGUGGGGUCACCGGAUUCAUCCUCCAUUGAAGAGUGGACAUUACCAACAGCUCCAUAUUCUGAAUAGUUUUGGCCUCAAACAAAUAUUUUGAAUCUUCCACCUAUUGAAUCAAGAAACAUAACCAAAAGUUAAAAAUGCCAAGGAAUAGUAUGACUCAACUGUGGAGCUUACACCACCUGGGUCACCUCCUUUCCCAAAAGCCUAAACUCCAUCAUACUUAUUAACCCAUCAUCCCUUUUAAUUCUUGGUAUGUCGGAUUCGUGUCAACAAAAAACACCUAAUAUAAAUUUUCAAAAUGAGUUAUUUGUUAACUUACUUGGAGAUGAAGAAGAAGUGGGACUUGGGUUUCUUCAACUUUUGCAGCAAGAGAAAGACAAGUUACAGCAGCAAGCUGGAUCAUCCAUGGCUCAUCUUCUUGAAAUUGAACACUAGAUACAAAUCUGUUGAAGAGAUUAAUUGCUAGAACUGCAGUUAGAGCUGAAAAUCCAUAAUGGGCUUUCACUUUUAGCAUCCACUCAACAGCCUCUGCUCUUCCCACAUAGAGAAAAGGUUUCUCUGUUUCAUUAUUAUCAGAAAAAAGGUGGGUUUCUGUUUCUUUAGAAAACAGAGAGAUAAGCUCUUCCUCUUCCCAAAACAAAUCUUGCUCCAAUGAAACCGAUGGGCCUUCUCCAUUUCUUGUACUGAUUUCAAAGUUGUAAUCUUUGUCACUGAUCUCUUCUUCUAAGCACUCAACUCCUAUUACUUCUUCCUCGCAAAAUAAAGAAUCUAACAAGAAAGAAAUGGUGUCUUGUUGAUGCUCAUCAUUUACUUGUAAUAUUGCCAUUUUCUUGAAAAAAGGGAGAUCUUUCUUUUUUUUGUCCUCUGCUAAUUAUGACAAAUUUACUAUUUAUAUAUGAAUAUGAGAAUGUGUUAAGAUACUUGUGGAUGACAUGUGAGAAAAAGGGUUAAUAAUUAGAUGGAUCUUAGGAGUCACAGGUGGGAGAUAAUAAUCCCUUUACUUGGACAUUUUUCGGCUCUAGAUCUGUAAAAAUGAAGUCAUUUUUGUUGUAUAACACGUGAAAAAAAGUUAGAAAUAAAACUAUUUAUAUACAUGUAGUAUAUUCAAAACAAGGCUAUGGCAUGUUUUAGUGAAGGAUCCACUAAAAUGCCUAUUAAUGGAUUUAUG